rnacentral:rRNA from 1 species
UACGAAGGGUGCAAGCGUUACUCGGAAUUACUGGGCGUAAAGCGUGCGUAGGUGGUUUGUUAAGUCUGAUGUGAAAGCCCUGGGCUCAACCUGGGAAUGGCAUUGGAUACUGGCGAGCUAGAGUGCGGUAGAGGGUAGUGGAAUUCCCGGUGUAGUGGUGAAAUGCGUAGAUAUCGGGAGGAACACCAGUGGCGAAGGCGACUACCUGGCCUGUUCUUGACGCUGAGGCGCGAAAGCUAGGGGAGCAAACGGG